GACGAACGCUGGCGGCGUGCUUAACACAUGCAAGUCGAGCGGUAAGGCCCUUUCGGGGGUACACGAGCGGCGAACGGGUGAGUAACACGUGGGUGACCUGCCCUCAGCUCUGGGAUAAGCCUGGGAAACUGGGUCUAAUACCGGAUAUGACUCCAUGACGCAUGUUGUGGGGUGGAAAGCCUUGUGCGGCUAGGGAUGGGCCCGCGGCCUAUCAGCUUGUUGGUGGGGUGAUGGCCUACCAAGGCGACGACGGGUAGCCGGCCUGAGAGGGCGACCGGCCACACUGGGACUGAGACACGGCCCAGACUCCUACGGGAGGCAGCAGUGGGGAAUCUUGCGCAAUGGGCGAAAGCCUGACGCAGCGACGCCGCGUGAGGGAUGACG
rnacentral:rRNA from 1 species